UCUAAACUGAAUGUGCAGGGAUUUAGGAAAUUGAAGUAUGUUGACUUUUCAACGUCUUAUUCAAUCACUGGUAACUUCUUAAGAAACCUUGGAAGCUGCAAUGGGGUAAAUUUUCUUGAGGUCUUAAUUUUAAGGGAUUGCAUGCAUCUCAAAGAGAUGGAAGUCGUGAGGCU